GACGAACGCUGGCGGCGUGCUUAACACAUGCAAGUCGAACGGAAAGGCCUCUUUCGGGGGGUACUCGAGUGGCGAACGGGUGAGUAACACGUGAGUAACCUGCCCUUGACUUUGGGAUAACUUCAGGAAACUGGGGCUAAUACCGGAUAGGAGCUCCUGCUGCAUGGUGGGGGUUGGAAAGUUUCGGCGGUUGGGGAUGGACUCGCGGCUUAUCAGCUUGUUGGUGGGGUAGUGGCUUACCAAGGCUUUGACGGGUAGCCGGCCUGAGAGGGUGACCGGCCACAUUGGGACUGAGAUACGGCCCAGACUCCUACGGGAGGCAGCAGUGGGGAAGAUUGCACAAGGGGUGGAAGCCUGAUGCAGCAACGCCGUGGGCGGGAGGACGGCCUUCGGGUUGUAAACCGCUUUCGCUCAUGACGAAGCUUUGUGUGACGGUAGUGGGUAAAGAAGCACCGGCUAACUACGUG
rnacentral:rRNA from 1 species